GUGAAUCAUCGAAUUUUUGAACGCACAUUGCGCUCUUUGGUAUUCCGGAGAGCAUGCCUGUUUGAGGGUCAGUAAUAAUAAAAUCGGGGUGUUGCUCUUUUGUGACACCACGGAGUUUGGGCUACCUUUGACUUUCGGGUUUUAAGAGGCUUAAAAUCGAACUUUUUUGCGCACUUUUAGACGUACAUAAAUUUAUUUUAUCGUCUAUUCUGGUGCCACUUAUCUAUUAGGUGCGAUCAUGUUUAUAUGAUCUCGUGCCCAUAAUUCUCAUCUUUUGCCCUCAAAUCAGGUAAGGACACC
rnacentral:misc_RNA from 1 species